rnacentral:rRNA from 1 species
UGGGGAAUAUUGCACAAUGGGCGCAAGCCUGAUGCAGCCAUGCCGCGUGUAUGAAGAAGGCCUUCGGGUUGUAAAGUACUUUCAGUCGGGAGGAAGGUGGUAAGGUUAAUAACCUUAUCAAUUGACGUUACCGACAGAAGAAGCACCGGCUAACUCCGUGCCAGCAGCCGCGGUAAUACGGAGGGUGCAAGCGUUAAUCGGAAUUACUGGGCGUAAAGCGCACGCAGGCGGUUGAUUGAGUCAGAUGUGAAAUCCCCGGGCUUAACCCGGGGAUUGCAUCUGAUACUGGUCAGCUAGAAUCUUGUAGAGGGGGGUAGGAUUCCAUGUGAAGCGGUGAAAUGCGUAGAGAUGUGGAGGAAUACCGGUGGCGAAGUCGGCCCCCUGGACAAAGACUGACGCUCAGGUGCGAAAGCGUGGGGAGCAAACAGG